GACGAACGCUGGUGGCGCGCCUAACACAUGCAAGUCGAACGAGCGAGAGAGAGCUUGCUUUCUCAAGCGAGUGGCGAACGGGUGAGUAACGCGUGAGGAACCUGCCUCAAAGAGGGGGACAACAGUUGGAAACGACUGCUAAUACCGCAUAAGCCCACGACCCGGCAUCGGGUAGAGGGAAAAGGAGCAAUCCGCUUUGAGAUGGCCUCGCGUCCGAUUAGCUAGUUGGUGAGGUAACGGCCCACCAAGGCGACGAUCGGUAGCCGGACUGAGAGGUUGAACGGCCGUUGUGGGACUAAAGAACGGCCCAGGCUCGACGGGGAGGAAGAGGGGGGGAAUUUUGAAAAAGGGGGAAACCCCGGAGACGGCGGCGCCGGGGGAAGAAAGAAGGUUUACGGAUAAAAGGCUCUUGUUGUGGAGGAAAAAAAAGCGGAAGGAAAACAAGAAGGUGAGGAGAAGGACCGUA
rnacentral:rRNA from 1 species